UAUAAUGGGUCAGCGACUUAUAUUCUGUAGCAAGGUUAACCGUAUAGGGGAGCCGCAGGGAAACCGAGUCUUAACUGGGCGUUAAGUUGCAGGGUAUAGACCCGAAACCCGGUGAUCUAGCCAUGGGCAGGUUGAAGGUUGGGUAACACUAACUGGAGGACCGAACCGACUAAUGUUGAAAAAUUAGCGGAUGACUUGUGGCUGGGGGUGAAAGGCCAAUCAAACCGGGAGAUAGCUGGUUCUCCCCGAAAGCUAUUUAGGUAGCGCCUCGUGAACUCAUCUUCGGGGGUAGAGCACUGUUUCGGCUAGGGGGUCAUCCCGACUUACCAACCCGAUGCAAACUACGAAUACCGAAGAAUGUUAUCACGGGAGACACACGGCGGGUGCUAACGUCCGUCGUGAAGAGGGAAACAACCCAGACCGCCAGCUAAGGUCCCAAAGUCAUGGUUAAGUGGGAAACGAUGUGGGAAGGCACAGACAGCCAGGAUGUUGGCUUAGAAGCAGCCAUCAUUUAAAGAAAGCGUAAUAGCUCACUGGUCGAGUCGGCCUGCGCGGAAGAUGUAACGGGGCUAAACCAUGCACCGAAGCUGCGGCAGCGACACUAUGUGUUGUUGGGUAGGGGAGCGUUCUGUAAGCCUGCGAAGGUGACCUGUGAGGGUUGCUGGAGGUAUCAGAAGUGCGAAUGCUGACAUAAGUAACGAUAAAGCGGGUGAAAAGCCCGCUCGCCGGAAGACCAAGGG
rnacentral:rRNA from 1 species